GAUGAACGCUGGCUACAGGCUUAACACAUGCAAGUCGAGGGGAAACGACGGGGAAGCUUGCUUCCCCGGGCGUCGACCGGCGCACGGGUGAGUAACGCGUAUCCAACCUGCCUCUGACUGAGGGAUAACCCGUCGAAAGUCGGCCUAAUACCUCAUGGUAUCGUCUGCGGGCAUCCAACGACGAUUAAAGAUUUCAUCGGUCAGGGAUGGGGAUGCGUCUGAUUAGCUUGUUGGCGGGGUAACGGCCCACCAAGGCUACGAUCAGUAGGGGUUCUGAGAGGAAGGUCCCCCACAUUGGAACUGAGACACGGUCCAAACUCCUACGGGAGGAAGCAGUGAGGAAUAUUGGUCAAUGGGCGAGAGCCUGAACCAGCCAAGUAGCGUGCAGGAAGACGGCCCUAUGGGUUGUAAACUGCUUUUAUGCGGGGAUAAAGUGAGGGACGUGUCCCUCAUUGCAGGUACCGCAUGAAUAAGGACCGGCUAAUUCCGUG
rnacentral:rRNA from 1 species